GAGGAUCCAAACUACACACUGGACAAACUCAAUCUGGAUCAUGGAGGACACACAAUGAUGACAGCAGGACCAAGCAAAUAUGUCUGUUUCCUCACUCUGGAUCCAAACA